rnacentral:miRNA from 1 species
AUCUCAGAAGCUAAGCAGGGUCGGGCCUGGUUAGUACUGGGAUGGGAGAGCUGAGAGUCUAUAAAUAAAUGACCACAUUCGCAAGCAGUGCACAGU